rnacentral:rRNA from 1 species
ACACGUGAUUCAGAGUUUGAUCCUGGCUCAGAUUGAACGCUGGCGGCAUGCCUUACACAUGCAAGUCGAACGGCAUCGCGGGAAAGCUUGCUUUCCUGGCGGCGAGUGGCGAACGGGUGAGUAACACAUCGGAACGUACCGGCUAGUGGGGGAUAACCCGUCGAAAGACGGGCUAAUACCGCAUACGCUCUUAGGAGGAAAGCAGGGGACCUUUGGGCCUUGCGCUAGCCGAGCGGCCGAUGUCCGAUUAGCUAGUUGGUGGGGUAAAGGCCUACCAAGGCGACGAUCGGUAGCGGGUCUGAGAGGACGAUCCGCCACACUGGGACUGAGACACGGCCCAG